rnacentral:rRNA from 1 species
GAUCAUGGCUCAGAGCGAACGCUAGCGGCAAGCUUAAUACAUGCAAGUCGCACGAGACACUUCGGUGUCUAGUGGCGCACGGGUGAGUAACACGUAGGUUACGUACCUCGAGGUGGGGAAUAACUCAGGGAAACCUGAGCUAAUACCGCGUAUGUCCUUCGGGAUGAAAGUCGAAAGGCGCCCUGAGAUCGGCCUGCGGCCCAUUAUCUAAUCCUAGUUGGUAGGGUAACGGCCUACCAAGGGUACGAUGGGUAGCUGGUCUGAGAGGAUGAUCAGCCACACUGGGACUGAGACACGGCCCAGACUCCUACGGGAGGCAGCAGUGGGGAAUAUUGCGCAAUGGGGGAAACCCUGACGCAGCUAUGCCGCGUGGGUGAUGAAGGCCUUCGGGUCGUAAAGCCCUGUCGGAGGGAACGAAGGCGCAAGCUUGACGGUACCCUCCAAGGAAGCACCGGCUAACCUCGUG